rnacentral:rRNA from 1 species
UACGUAGGGGGCAAGCGUUGUCCGGAUUUACUGGGCGUAAAGCGCGUGUAGGCGGGACGGCAAGUCGGACGUGAAAGGCUGCGGCUCAACCGCAGACGGCCGUUCGAAACUGCCGUUCUUGAGGGCGGAAGAGGAGAGUGGAAUUCCCGGUGUAGCGGUGAAAUGCGUAGAGAUCGGGAGGAACACCCAUGGCGAAGGCAGCUCUCUGGUCGGCCACUGACGCUGAGACGCGAAAGCGUGGGGAGCGAACGGGAUUAGAAACCCCGGUAGU